GGAGACUUCCACCAGGAUGGCCCAAUCCCCACCCUGGAGGACGCGGCUAGCUUCUCCUAGGUUACAUCUCAAGGGGGGUGAGGGGCAUGACCCUGAUGAGCUGAACUCCCAGGAUCCUUUCAACACCAGCAAGCAACUGAACUCGGAAGGCAAUGGCUGGAGAGAAACAGGCAGAGGAAGGACUGAAGGACAGAAGGACAUGUCCCCGAUCGCCUACCUCGCAACAGUUCCCAAGAGAUGCUCUCUGAGCCACCUCUGUGGAAAACAACAACUUAGAAAAGACAGAAGUGAAUUGAAAGACCUUUUCCAGGUUUGGGGCCAAGAGACUCUCAGAAUAGUCUCGACAAACAGGGCCCAAUCCAGGGAACGGUGCUCCCCACUUUCAGGCUGGUCUUCUUGUAUCAAUUAAGGUAACCAAGGCACUCCUCCAUAGACAUGCCCACAGACCAACCUGACUUAGAUGAUCCACAAUUGAGACUCUCCCACCAAGUGAUUCUAAGUUGUGUCAAAUUGACAGUUGAAGCAACCCAUCUACACAUCUGCCUUGUGCUAUUCUUCUGAUAGAGCCCCUGGUUCCCUC
rnacentral:lncRNA from 1 species